GUAAGUAGUGACUACAGCCGAGCUAACUUCUAAUCAAACCUUUCCUACUGGGGCUUCCCACAGACUCCCAGCUCUCCCUCCACAGGGGUCAGCAUGGUUUCCAAGAUGCAGGGGGAAGAUGGUUCUUCUCAGGGCAUCCUGGGAAACCUGGCUGAGAAAGAAGGUCUGGUCUUUAAAGCUGUCAGCUGCUUGGAGAAGUUUUACGGCUGCCAAAAGUAAAGAACAAAAGUCAUUGCUGGAACACAGAUAA
rnacentral:lncRNA from 1 species